rnacentral:rRNA from 1 species
GGGGCGAGUAAAGCGGCGCACGGGUGCGUAACACGUGGAUAACCUGCCUGGAAGUCCGGAACAACCUUCCGAAAGGAGGGCUAAUACCAGAUAAGACCACGGGGACUUUGGUCCUUGAGGUAAAAAGACAGCCUCCGCAUGCAAGCUGUCACUUCUAGAGGGGUCCGCGGCCCAUCAGCUAGUUGGCGGGGUAACGGCCCACCAAGGCGACGACGGGUAGCUGGUCUGAGAGGACGAUCAGCCACACUGGAACUGAGACACGGUCCAGACUCCUACGGGAGGCAGCAGUGGGGAAUUUUGCGCAAUGGGCGAAAGCCUGACGCAGCAACGCCGCGUGAGUGAUGAAGGUCUUCGGAUCGUAAAGCUCUUUCGGCUGGGACGAAAACGGAUGGGUUAACAGCCCGUUCCUUGACGGUACCGGAAGAAGAAGCACCGGCUAACUCUGUGCCAGCAGCCGCGGUAAUACAGAGGGUGCAAGCGUUGUUCGGAAUUAUUGGGCGUAAAGCGCGUGUAGGCGGCGGAGCAUGUCGGGUGUGAAAGCCCUCGGCUUAACCGAGGAAGUGCGCCCGAAACUGCUCUGCUAGAGUGCUGGAGAGGGUAGCGGAAUUCCCGGUGUAGAGGUGAAAUUCGUAGAUAUCGGGAGGAACACCAGUGGCGAAGGCGGCUACCUGGACGGACACUGACGCUGAGACGCGAAAGCGUGGGGAGCAAACAGGAUUAGAU